rnacentral:rRNA from 1 species
GACGAACGCUGGCGGCGUGCUUAACACAUGCAAGUCGAACGGAAAGGCCCUGCUUUUGUGGGGUGCUCGAGUGGCGAACGGGUGAGUAACACGUGAGUAACCUGCCCUUGACUUUGGGAUAACUUCAGGAAACUGGGGCUAAUACCGGAUAGGAGCUCCUGCUGCAUGGUGGGGGUUGGAAAGUUUCGGCGGUUGGGGAUGGACUUGCGGCUUAUCAGCUUGUUGGUGGGGUAGUGGCUUACCAAGGCUUUGACGGGUAGCCGGCCUGAGAGGGUGACCGGCCACAUUGGGACUGCUAUUAGGCCCAUACUCCUACGGGAGGGAACAGUGGAGAAUAUUGCACAAUGGGCGGAAGCCUGAUGCAGCAACGCCGCGUGCGGGAUAACGGCCUUCGGGUUGUAAACCGCUUUCGCCUGUGACGAAGCGUGAGUGACGGUAAUGGGUAAAGAAGCACCGGCUAACUACGUG